ACAAAAAAACCCAAAUCAAUCCAUGAAAUAAAUGAGCAGUCACAGCUCUGAAUGCUUCGAUCACAAGGUAACCCCAGACAAGGCUGCAGCAGCCCCACCACUCCCACCCAGCAAAACCCCACCACUGAGCACCUGUGCAGACCAAAGCCAGAACUGUUUUGAAAAUGUCUAGUGAUUUUGGGUACCUUUGCAGGGGCCUGAUUGUCAGCAAGUGCUGAGCACCCACCCUCUGAAAAAUCAGCCCCCUUUCAGGUGUCUCUAGGUGGGUACCUACAAUUUCUAGGCCUAUAUUCUUGGCCUAUAUUACUAGAGGAUAAUCCCACCUCUUUGGGGUAACACAUGGGAUAGUCCCAGCUAAGAGCUUCCAAUGGUCCCAGGCAUCUAGUGACAGUUUCACACAUCCCCUGGCCUCUGUUUCCAAGAUCAACCUAGUCCUGAAAAUUAGGAGCGUUAGUGUGGCUGCGAAUGAAUGGUAGAAAGUAGGCCAAGGUGACUUCACCAGUCCCACUGGGCAGCCCCAGUCAGACUCCAUUCUCAGUGAGCAACCAGUUAAAUCAGUCCUAAGUACAUCAGUCCGUCUGCGCCUGUGAGACGGGUAGGGCGUAGGGAAAUGAAAAGCAGACUGCAUGCAAGGCCUCUUCAUUCACACCCCCCACCCCCUACAACCACAUCCACCCCGCACCUUACACUGUACACGCCGAGGAGUGGAGGAUUAUUGCCUUCAGGUGAAGCCACUAUUGGAGCAGGACAGCUCCACAGUCUGAGCCAGUUUGUGGGCUGGUGCUUUGUAAGUACACCGUCACUAUAUAUAUUCCUGCAGGUUACAGGCCUAAGGGUGUGUUUGUGCUGCAGUCAGAGAUGUGACCGCGCCACAUGUGGACAUACCCAAGCUAGCUUUGAUCCAGCUGGUUUAAACAACAGCCGCCGAGAAGGCACAGCAGCAGCGUGAGCGGGCCAGCCCUGCCCAGCACCUUGGGUCUGUAUCCAGGACUAGCCCACUCAGUUCUGGAGAUCAGGCUUAACUCAGGUCUGCCCACAUGUGCAGCAGUCGCACCCCUGCCUGUAGUGCAGACAUACCCUAUGGUCAGCUGGCCUGCCCAGCACUAAGGCUAGACUGUGAAGUAGGGUAACCAGGCAGCAAAUGUGACAAAUUGGGACGGGGGGUGGGGGGUAAUAGGAGCCUAUAUAAGAAAAAGACCCAAAAAGCGGGACUGUCCCUAUGAAAUUGGGACAUCUGGUCACCCUACUUUAAAGGUAUUAAGGCACUUGCACCUUUGGGCACCUCUGAAAAAUCCCAUCCGCACCGGACCCCCAUUAAUUUCAAUGGGGGUUAGGCAUUUAGACUGAAAAUUCCUACUAGGUGCCCCUCUUCAUCUUUCUAGCCUUCACUGCUUUUUGGGCUGUACAGACAUAACCAGGACUUGAUUACGUUAAGCUUGUAGAGAUUAAUGGUGCCACUUGUUAAGCUAAUGAAGUGAUCCUGCAGUAACUAACAGGGGCUUUUCAGUCUGUCCUGUCCCUCAUGAGCAAAUUUGCCGAGUACCAAAAUCAAGUCACUAGUUGAUACAGAGCAGGGGUGACAAGAGCUGAUUUAAUUCUCACUUCCAACAUCUGAUCACGUUUGUAUGAGGUCUCAGUGGCAGCCCUGACAGGGGCCUCAGCAGGGCUCUGGGAUUAACUGUUAUCUUGUGUCUCAUCACCUCAGCCCCACCUCAGCCUGUCCCUCGAAUGCACUGGGGUGUCCCAGGGGACACAAUGGACCCAAGACAACCGGUACCUGCAGUGGAACCCACAGCUUUUAACUUCAUUAUACAGGAUUCCGCCGAUGGAGCAACAUUCCAGUCAUGUGACAUCCCUCCCUAGGGCCCAGCUGCUGAAUUAACAGAGGGAGUAGAAAUGUGUGGAAACUAUGGAAACGGCAAACCCCAAACAAUGGGCUCAUUGGAUUGCGUGCACCAAGCUGCAGCCCAUACAGCAGUUCUGUGGCUGGAUACACAGACACCCGGAAGGGCUGCACAGCACCAGGAACUGGAAGUGACUGUUGAUGAGAGCAGCACAAACUAACGUGCCGUCCACGAGCAUUUGUGCAAGGAAGUUGCGUCAUUCAGAUGCUGGCAAGAAGCAGACACAAACAGGGCAUGAUUACCAUGUUCCCUCUACUUUUUUACAUCCAUGUGUGGAAUGAAUUUUGUUAUGUGCACCAA